UACGUAGGGUGCAGGCGUUAAUCGGAAUUACUGGGCGUAAAGCGUGCGCAGGCGGUCUGUUAAGACCGAUGUGAAAUCCCCGGGCUUAACCUGGGAACUGCAUUGGUGACUGGCAGGCUUUGAGUGUGGCAGAGGGAGGUAGAAUUCCACGUGUAGCAGUGAAAUGCGUAGAGAUGUGGAGGAAUACCGAUGGCGAAGGCAGCCUCCUGGGCCAACACUGACGCUCAUGCACGAAAACGUGGGGAGCAAACAGG
rnacentral:rRNA from 1 species